UACGUAGGGUGCAGGCGUUAAUCGGAAUUACUGGGCGUAAAGCGUGCGCAGGCGGUCUGCUAAGACAGGUGUGAAAUCCCCGGGCUUAACCUGGGAGUUGCGCUUGUAACUGGCAGGCUAGAGUGUGGCAGAGGGGGGUGGAAUUCCACGUGUAGCGGUGAAAUGCGUAGAUAUGUGGAGGAAUACCGGUGGCGAAGGCGGCCCCCUGGGAUAAUAUUGACGCUCAUGCACGAAAGCGUGGGUAGCAAACAGG
rnacentral:rRNA from 1 species